rnacentral:lncRNA from 11 species
AAACCAUCAAGUUAAAAAAAAAGACAAGAAAGUAUUGCAUAUAUGUGAAUUCCUGACCAGCUGGCAAAACAUGAUCAAGAUAAACUUUUUGAAGAAAUGUUUCAAAUCAAGGCAAAGCUUGAGAGGAAGUAAAC